CGGAGGAAAAGAAACCAACAGGGAUUGCCUCAGUAACGGCGAGUGAAGCGGCAACAGCUCAAAUUUGAAAGCUGGCUCCUUCGGGGCCCGCGUUGUAAUUUGUAGAGGAUGCUUCGGGCGCGGUACCGGUCUAAGUUCUCUGGAACGAGACGUCAUAGAGGGUGAGAAUCCCGUAUGUGACCGGCUGCCUGUGCCCAUGUGAAGCUCCUUCGACGAGUCGAGUUGUUUGGGAAUGCAGCUCAAAAUGGGAGGUGUACUCCUUCUAAAGCUAAAUAUUGGCCAGAGACCGAUAGCGCACAAGUAGAGUGAUCGAAAGAUGAAAAGCACUUUGGAAAGAGAGUUAAACAGUACGUGAAAUUGUUGAAAGGGAAGCGCUUGCAAUCAGACUUGCGCGGCGUCGAUCAGCCCGGGUUCUCCCUGGUGCACUCGGCGCCGCUCAGGCCAGCAUCAGUUUCGGCGGUGGGAUAAAGGCCUAGGGAACGUGGGUCCCUUCGGGGACCGUUAUAGCCCUAGGUGCAAUGCCGCCUGCCGGGACUGAGGACCGCGCUUCGGCUAGGAUGCUGGCGUAAUGGUUGUAAGCGACCCGUCUUGAAAAACGG
rnacentral:rRNA from 1 species